rnacentral:rRNA from 1 species
GACGAACGCUGGCGGCGUGCCUAAUACAUGCAAGUAGAACGCUGAAGGAGGAGCUUGCUUCUCUGGAUGAGUUGCGAACGGGUGAGUAACGCGUAGGUAACCUGCCUGGUAGCGGGGGAUAACUAUUGGAAACGAUAGCUAAUACCGCAUAAGAGUAGAUGUUGCAUGACAUUUGCUUAAAAGGUGCAAUUGCAUCACUACCAGAUGGACCUGCGUUGUAUUAGCUAGUUGGUGGGGUAACGGCUCACCAAGGCGACGAUACAUAGCCGACCUGGGAGGGUGGGCGGCCACACGGGGACGGCGACACGCCCCAGACGCCUACGGGAGGCAGAAGGGGGGAUUCUUCGGAAAUGGACGGAGGUCUGACGGAGAAGCGCGGGGUGAGUAAAGAGGUUUGCGGGAUGGUAAAGUUCUGUGGAAAGAGAAGAAGGAGGGGGAGAGUGAAAAGUUCACCCUGUGAGGGUUUUUAACAAAAAAGGGACGGCAAACUACGUC